GCAAGUGUGGUGUAGUGGUUUGAAUGUUGGACUAGGAUUCCAAUAGACCAAGGUUCAAAUCCCCACUUGGC